rnacentral:rRNA from 1 species
AAUAGAUACCCAGGUAGUCCACGCCGUAAACGAUGUCGACUUGGAGGUUGUUCCCUUGAGGAGUGGCUUCCGGAGCUAACGCGUUAAGUCGACCGCCUGGGGAGUACGGCCGCAAGGUUAAAACUCAAAUGAAUUGACGGGGGCCCGCACAAGCGGUGGAGCAUGUGGUUUAAUUCGAUGCAACGCGAAGAACCUUACCUACUCUUGACAUCCAGAGAACUUAGCAGAGAUGCUUUGGUGCCUUCGGGAACUCUGAGACAGGUGCUGCAUGGCUGUCGUCAGCUCGUGUUGUGAAAUGUUGGGUUAAGUCCCGCAACGAGCGCAACCCUUAUCCUUUGUUGCCAGCGGUCCGGCCGGGAACUCAAAGGAGACUGCCAGUGAUAAACUGGAGGAAGGUGGGGAUGACGUCAAGUCAUCAUGGCCCUUACGAGUAGGGCUACACACGUGCUACAAUGGCGCAUACAAAGAGAAGCGACCUCGCGAGAGCAAGCGGACCUCAUAAAGUGCGUCGUAGUCCGGA